rnacentral:rRNA from 1 species
AACGAACGCUGGCGGCAUGCCUAACACAUGCAAGUCGAACGAGACCUUCGGGUCUAGUGGCGCACGGGUGCGUAACGCGUGGGAAUCUGCCCUUGGGUUCGGGAUAACAGUUGGAAACGACUGCUAAUACCGGAUGAUGACUUCGGUCCAAAGAUUUAUCGCCCAGGGAUGAGCCCGCGUCGGGUUAGCUAGUUGGUGAGGUAAGAGCUCACCAAGGCGACGAUCCGUAGCUGGUCUGAGAGGAUGAUCAGCCACACUGGGACUGAGACACGGCCCAGACUCCUACGGGAGGCAGCAGUGGGGAAUAUUGGACAAUGGGCGAAAGCCUGAUCCAGCAAUGCCGCGUGAGUGAUGAAGGCCUUAGGGUUGUAAAGCUCUUUUACCCGGGAUGAUAAUGACAGUACCGGGAGAAUAAGCCCCGGCUAACUCCGUG